rnacentral:lncRNA from 1 species
AAGUUUAGAGGAGGGCUAUCUUCCAAAGGUCACAUUUAAUGUUGUGCAAAAGAUGAUAAACAUAAUGUGUUGUGCCCUAAACAUGUUUCAAAGACACUACCAUGCAUGCGAUAAUAAGUUGAUUUGCCUUUGGCAACUUCUGGAGGAGUUGGUGAGAGGUCUUGAGUUCGAUUUGACGUGUUAAUUUGAAAUACAUUGACGGGCCAAAUGUUCCUCUAUCUCUUCAUCAUCAGAGUGCUCAUAAGUAUCAUUAUCAUCUGUAAAUAUCUUUACAAUCAUUUUUUUUGCCAG